AUCCUGCCGCCGCCCGGAAUCCGCAUCGACCCACGUGUGGCAGGAGCGGGGGAACCAGGUAAGCCGCCGACCGGAGACAUCCGGAACGGCUCGGGGUCAAGUCGCGUCCCGCGCGGCCGGGCAUCUCCAGCCCGAACCCGACAGCUCACCUCGUAGGCGCCGGAGAGGAAUU
rnacentral:sRNA from 2 species